GCCUGGGUGGCUCGGUCGGUUGAGCAUCCGACUUCGGCUCAGGUCAUGAUCUCACGGUCUGUGGGUUCGAGCCCCGCAUCGGGCU
rnacentral:tRNA from 1 species